CCCUUAGAUGUUCGGGGCCGCACGCGCGCUACACUGAGGGAAUCAGCACGUCUUUCUCCUUGUCCGAAAGGACUGGGUAACCCGCUGAACCUCCUUCGUGCUAGGGAUUGGGGCUUGUAAUUCUUCCCCAUGAACGAGGAAUUCCCAGUAAGCGCGAGUCAUAAGCUCGCGUUGAUUACGUCCCUGCCCUUUGUACACACCGCCCGUCGCUACUACCGAUUGGAUGGUUUAGUGAGAUCCUCGGAUUGGUCCCGGAGCGGCCUCUGGUCGUGCCGGAGUGCCGAAAAGAAUGUCGAACUUGAUCAUCUAGAGGAAGUAAAAGUCGUAACA
rnacentral:rRNA from 1 species